GAACCCGAAUAUGAACUUUUUUCUGCCUACGAUUCCUCCCCCUUACGCCCCUCAUAUAAAUAGAAUAAAAUUUUGCAAAAAAAAUUUUGAUGUACGAGUACAGUUACCUUUAUUUUAUUCCUAUUUUUUCGCAGAUAAUCCUCCACAAAAAAUUAUCUAUCUCCUUUUCCCCUUAAAAAUCAUUUGAUGGUGUCUCUAUUCGAACUUACGAAGCUAUACUUCAAAAACCCUGUUCACGUUAUUGCAAUUUAAAAUGUCACCGAACUAUCGAAAUUAGUGUCGUUGUUCAAUGUUUUUGAAUAGUUUUAGAAGUCGUUUUAUUACAUACAGAUAACAGGUAUCUUUCAACAAGAAAGCUUCUAUAGCUUUACUUUUUUUUUAAAAAAUGUUAAUCAGAAUAUACGAGUACCUUACCUUCGUAUAUUCUUUUUGUCACAUUUCAUAAGCAUUGUUUAAAGUUGAUGAAAAAAACUUAUUAUGAAAAUUUCAACCAUUUUGUUCGUUCUUAUGAUACUGUUGGUUCAUUUCUUUGUUGGAGGAGAAUCGUACGCAUGUCGUAAACGACGUAACCGGAAGGCGAACAAACUUCUUCCUAUUUGUCCGAAAAAACCAUGUGGCAUACCGGGUAUAGCCGUGUGUUAUUGAUGAAGAAUGAUUUUUUAUUUGGAAAAUUUCCACUUUAUCAGAUUGACAUUUUGAUUCUAUAUUAAAAUAAAGUUGAAUUUUUAAUUUAUAAUGUGUUACAGUGUUAGUAUUGCGCAUAAUCAUUAUUUAUAAAUUCUCAAGAAUGAAAAAUGAACUAAUGGAUAAUUUGAGGUUGAAAAUUCCUUCAUGUAACGUUGAAACAAGACUUGAUGGGUGAGAACUGACACCAUAAGCGAUUUCAUGCCAGACACAAACCGAAAAAAAAUCGAUAGAGGACCAAAAAUAAAAAUGAUCAACUGUUGAUGUGGAUUCUUCCUCGUGAUCAAAAUUUGAGACAUUUCAAAUUCCGCUUCCUUCCUCCCUCCAUCUCAACGCACCUUAUUGACGAAUGUCCCUUCUGCAUUUUACCCAUUUCAUUUUUUUAGUUGAAAAAAUAAUCGAAUCAGGCGAAUUUUCUUCGUUUUUAGACAUUUUAAUGUGCACAGAUCCUCUCAAUGGAGACUUCCAUGAGAACAAAAUUAUUCUUUGAAGUUAUUUUUAUUUUUUGAGUUGAAAAAAUCUAUACAAAUUCAAAAUAUUCAGAAAAUUACUGAAAUAAUAAUUUUCAGAAUUUAAAGGGAAUUAGAAAAAAUACCAAUAGGGACAUGGCAAAAGAUGGCUGCGAGCCUGCCACUUUAUAUUGUUAUCAAUUUUUUGUAACUUGUCGCCAAUGAUAUUUAAGCGUUCACAUGACGUCAGCUUCAUUCAGCCAAUCAAACGUUUGCUUUUGGUUUCUCACCUCCAAAUUGAUAAGGGAGCCAGGGCGCGGACAUCUUUUGCCAUGUCCCUAUACCCUACUCUGUCUCACAUACAUACAUAAAAUUCGAACUUGAAUACAAUGAACUAUUUUACAUUCCAAAAGUAUAAUUGAAUUUCAGAAAAUAAUCACGGUGCAGAAUGUAAUUAUCGAUGUAGAAGUUAUGGAACACUAAAAAUCUGCGAGCUCAGGAUUUAUGCAACGUACUGUUAUUUGAUCCUACUUAAUUGUUCUUGCGUUUAAUUAUUACUGUUAAAAUAAUUAUGGUUUGUAUUCGGUAUAUACAUAUGUAUAACUCUCGGGUCGAAGUUAUUUGUAAUGUACCUAAAACAUUAAAUAGUUUGGUCGACGUUCAUUUUUGAAGUACCUAAUUACGUUUGAGUUGAUUAUUUUUCUAAUUCGCGUCAACUUACCUAGUGUUUGCUUUUUAAAAACUCUUCAACACCAGCUUAAGAAAAAAAGAUGAAGAACUUGAUGAUACUCGUUUUCAUCUUGGCCAUUUAUUUCGUUAUUGGUGCAUAUUCGUUUGUAUGUCGUUCACCAAACGAUAAAAAAGCCGAUCCAAAACUUCCCAUAUGUCCUGCUGUUCCUCCGCAUCCUCCAUUUCAACGCUUUUCCCGUAAUAAACAUUAAUGAAAUGAUGAGAGGGGUGGGAGGAUGGGCUAAGUCAAUCAAGGAUGCAUCGAAUUUAAAACAUAAUGAAUGAAAAUUAGUUUUAUAAGAUGUAUCAUUUAUUGUAAGAGAUAGGUUAUCAAUAAUGAAAUUUUUAAAUAAUAGUGUUUCUAGAAUAAGUACCUAACUUUUAUUCAAGGAUGAAAAAUAAAGGCCCGAGUGCUCUAAAAAUCAAAUUUGACUGGAAUUUUAUCUGCCCAAAAAAUUCAAUUUGGCGUUUUGCGGAUGUGAAUUCAGAAUGUCAGAAAAGACGGAAGUAGGUACAUAUUUUGGAUUUUCUCAGGUGCAGUUUUCUGAAGAAGUUUGAGCACACGGGGAGGGGGGGGGGAAUCAUGAUUUUUGGAUUUUUGAUAAAGUAUCAUGCGAUCUAUCAAAAUAUGUAGGUUUAAAUUUCGUGAAAAACUCAAAUAUAUUUCAACUGGAAUGUUUUUUGAUUAUCAUCGAGCAAUUAUUUUGAUUCAAAAAUAGGGGGGGGGGGUGUUCAUGAUUUUUGGAUUCUCGAAGACGUGUCAUGCGACCUAUCAAAAUAGGUUGAAAUUUCGCGAGGAAUUUUAAUAUCUCGACGGAAAUGUAUUUUAAGCAUUUCUGAAGAAGUUUGAGGUCACAAUGAGAGGGGGGAAGUCAUGAUUUUUGAAGAAGUGUCACGUGACCUUUCAAAAUAUGUUAAAAUUUCGCAAGUAAUUCAAAUAUUUCGACGAAAAUGUUUCUCGAGCAUUUUUGAAUAAUUUUGAUCCAAAAAUGAGGAGGGGAGGAGACGUUUUAUGAUUUUUGGAUUUUCGAAACAGUUUCAUUGUAACCUAUCAAAAUGGGUUACAAUUUCGUGAGAAAUGAAAAUGCAUUUUGAUCAUUAGACUUUUAAUUGGUCGCACUAAAUUAAACUCGUAAUUAUAUUUUGAAAAAAAUUAAUCCAUCUUUAUGUUGUAAUUGUAAUGUAAGUUUUGGUAACAACCAUUUUUAAUUGCUUGCCACCUUUUAAUUUUCGAAAAAAUAUUUCAAGUGCUUUAUAAAACCAAAACUAUUGUGUUGGAAUCACUUUCAAAAUACAUGUCUAUGUCUAUUUUUGAAGAAAUUUUAGCCCAAAAUUGGGUCAUGUAUCCCAGAAUUUUAGGAAUUUUCGAAAAAGUGUCGUACGACCUUUCAAAAUGAGUUAUAAUGUCGCGAGAAAUUCAAAUAUUCGACGAAAAUGUUUUUUGUUGAGCGUUUCUGAAGAUGGUUGAGUCCACAAUGGGAGGGGGGGUGUCAUAAUUUUUGAUUUUUGAUAAAGUAUCGUGCGAUCUGUUUAAAUAGGUUUAAACCUCGUUAGAAACUAAAAUAUUUCUAAUGAAAUGUUUUUUGAGCAUUUUUAAACAAUGUUAAUACAGAAAUGGGGGGGGGGGUCAUAGUUUUUGGAUUUCCGGAAAACUGUCAUGCGACCUAUCAACAUAGAUUGAAAUUUCGCGAGAAAUUGAAAUAUUCGGACGAAAAUAUAUUUUGAGCAUUUUUGAGGGAUUUUGUAGUACUCAAAAUUGGGUCAUGAAUCGUAUACUUUUUUGAAUUUUUGAAAAAGUAUCAUUUGACUUCUCAAAAUGGGUCAAAAGUUCGCGAGAAAUUCAAAUAUUUUGAGGAAAAUGUUUUUGAGCAUUUCUCGAGAAUUUUGAGCACACGAUGAGGGGGAAAGGGGAGGGUCAAGAUUUUUGGAUUGUUGAUAAUGAUAAAGUGUCAUGCGAUGUAUCAAAUAUAGGUUUUUUAUGAGAAACUCAAAUAUUUUGACUGAAAUGUUUUUAGAGCGUUUUGGAACAAUAUCGACCCAAAAGGUUGGGGGGGGGGUGAGAGGGUCAUGAUUUUUGGAUUUUCGAAAAAGGUGUCAUGCGACCUUUCAAAUUAGGUUAAAAUUUCGCGAGAAACUCAAAUAUUUCGACGAAAAUUUGUUUUGAGCAUUUUUGAAGAAUUUUGAGCCAAAAACGAGAGGAAGGUCAAGGGUGAGAGGGUCAUGAUUUUAGGAUUUUCGAAAAAGGUGUCAUGCGACCUGUCAAAUUAGGUUAAAAUUUCUCAAAAAACUCAAAUAUUUCGACGAAAAUGUAUUUUGAGCAUUUUUGACGAAUUUUGAGCCAAAAAAGUGGGGGUCGUGAAGGUCAUGAUUUUUGGAUUUUCGAAAAAGGUGUCAUGCGACCUAUCAAAAUAGGUUAAAAUUUUGCGAGAAACUCAAAUAUUUCGACGAAAAUUUGUUUUGAGCAGUUUUGAAGAAUUUUGAGUCAAAAACAGGAGGGAGAAGGAGGGUGGGAGGGUCAUGAUUUUUGGAUUUUCGAAGAAGUGUCAUGCGACCUAUCAAAAUGGAUUAAAAUUUCGCGAGAAUCUCAAAUCUUUGGACGAAAAUGUAUUUUGAGCAUUUUUGAAGAAUUUUGAGCCAAAAAAGUGGGGGUCGUGAAUGUCAUGAUUUUUGGAUUUUCGAAAAAGGUGUCAUGCGACCUGUCAAAAUAGGUUAAAAUUUUGCGAGAAAUUCAAAUAUUUGGUUGAAUAAUUUUGAGCCAAAAAAGAGAAUGGUGAUUUCUCGAUUUUCGAAAAAGUGUCUUUCGACCUAUCAAAAUGAGUUGGAAUUUCGCGAGAAAUGCAAAAAUUUCGACGAAAAUGUUUUUUGAACAUUUUUGUAAAAUUUUCUGGCCAAAUAUAUCGGGUCAUGAUAUUUGUUUUCGUUUGAAAAAGUGCCAUAUUACCCAUAAAAGUGGGCUAAAAUUUGACAAGAGAUUAAAAUAUUUCAUUUUUGAAAAAUAAAUGUGGUUGAUUUUUGGAAACAAUCGACGAAGUGAUUCGUGAUUCGUAAUCCUGGUGUAAAAAAAUCUCUACCUCAUUGUUUCAACUUCCCAUUCUUUAUCAAACCCUCUCCUCCUCUCCUUCUUCCGCCUCAAUUUCUCCAAAAAGUUUCAAUAUACAUAAUUCGAUAUUCGCCUAUCUAGGAAAGAAAUCACGUAGGUGCCCAAAUAAGAAUUACGAGAUGCAAACUUUCUGUAUUAUGACUAAAUGUGGAUUCGGGCGAGUUACGAUGAUGUAAUAAUAGUGCAAUGAAGAUGAAGGAAAAACAACGAACGAACGCUCCUAUUUGUACUUCUCUUUACUGUAGAGUCGAGAUAGAUACUCUGAGAGAACUUGGAGUGAGAUGCACUGCAAAAAUAUUAUAAGUACGUGUGCUGAGGAUAGGAAAAUUUUUAAUUUAAGAAGACGAAUAAGUUUAAAGAGUGGAAAAAAGCGGCUCGCGAUCACACAAAGUAGGUACCUAACUCAUAAUAUAAAGUAUGUACAUUACAGUACAGACAUCAGACACCAUAUUCUCGUGUGGCUGUGUGUUAAAAAGGUACCAGCUCAUUGUUAUUAUACAUAAUUGACCUGGAAAUAAUUGGAGCACACAAUCUUUAACGAGCUCCGGAAACAGACUUUACCUUGAGUGAAAACGUAUAACACACGUACACAUAGUACCUAGGUACUUAUAAUUUAGCAUUUGGUACAAUUGUUUAGACGUGCUGCUGCGGUAUAUUGAGACAUUUUAUUUUUCAGUAUGAUCGACUACUCUAUACUACAUAGAUCAGCAUUCGAUCGAUUACGUUUUCGAGUAAAUAUUUAUCUAGCUGAAUUAAAAAGAGCGGUGCGCAGAAGCACGUAUUUCUCGCCUUAUUUCAAUAGACUCGCUCAUUUUUUUUUUCUUCAUUGGUACUAUACUCAUUUCUCGUAUUGUGUAAUAAGUGUUUAUGUACACCCUACUCAUUCCAUGUGUCAAUAUAUAUACAAUCGGCCUCUCUCAAUAAUAAUGGAUGUGCGUAAAUAACUAUUAAUAUGUUUCGAACAUACGAAUAUAAAUUGUUACCGUGAGAUUGAUAUGCAAUAAGAUCGAGAUUCGGUGAUAUAUUCAUGUGUUAUGUAUUCCUUAUUUGUUCAUAAUCAUAAGUAUGGCAGAAUAUCGGAGAUUUUUUUACUGCAUGGAUGUGAAUAGGAAGAUGAUUCGAGUGACGAUGGAUGCUGUUAAUUUGAAGGCAAAGCUUGGGAUUCAUGAUUCAUAAGGUGUUCAGAAAAUUAUUAAAUGAGGAUAUUUUUGAAAGUGAAGGGGUGUGUUUUUUGUACCUUCGUUUUUGGGUAGAAAGUUUGGAGUAAGAUGGUCUUACCAUUUUUACUUAAUUCAUCCAAAUGGACACGAGACUUACAUGUAAAAUUUUUCAUGCUACAUUUGUUUGAAGUUAAUUGGCUCCCUGCUGCGUCUUUGUUAGGUCAGCAUCGCUCGUAAACUAUAUUAAGACGCUAAUUCAAUUUUACACUCAUCUUUAUAUGUAGUUUUGUUAUGUUAUGUUUGAGAAAUAAUAUUCCAUAAUUAAAGGCAAUUAUUAUUUAAU